AACGUAGGAGACAAACGUUAUCCGGAGUUACUGGGCGUAAAGGGCGUGUAGGUGGUAGUGUAAGUCUGGCGUGAAAUUUUUCGGCUUAACCGGGAAAGGUCGUCGGAUACUGCACAACUAGAGGACGGUAGAGGCGUGUGGAAUUCCGGGUGUAGUGGUGAAAUGCGUAGAGAUCCGGAGGAACACCAGUGGCGCAGGCGACACGCUGGGCCGUACCUGACACUGAUGCGCGACAGCAUGGGGAGCAAACAGG
rnacentral:rRNA from 1 species